UCGGGAAUUUUGGGCAAUGGGCGAAAGCCUGACCCAGCAACGCCGCGUGAGGGAUGAAGUAUUUCGGUAUGUAAACCUCGAAAGAAUGGGAAGAAUAAAUGACGGUACCAUUUAUAAGCUCCGGCUAACUACGUGCCAGCAGCCGCGGUAAUACGUAGGGAGCAAGCGUUGUUCGGAUUUACUGGGCGUAAAGGGCGCGUAGGCGGCGCGGUAAGUCACUUGUGAAAUCUCUGAGCUUAACUCAGAACGGCCAAGUGUUACUGCUGUGCUAGAGUGCGGAAGAGGCAACCGGAAUUCUUGGUGUAGCGGUGAAAUGCGUAGAUAUCAGGAGGAACACCUGAGGCGAAGGCGGGUUGCUGGGCCGACACUGACGCUGAUGCGCGAAAGCCAGGGGAGCAAACG
rnacentral:rRNA from 1 species